AGUGAACGCUGGCGGUAGGCCUAACACAUGCAAGUCGAACGGCAGCACAGUAAGAUCUUGCUCUUACGGGUGGCGAGUGGCGGACGGGUGAGGAAUACAUCGGAAUCUACUUUUUCGUGGGGGAUAACGUAGGGAAACUUACGCUAAUACCGCAUACGACCUACGGGUGAAAGCAGGGGAGCUUCGGACCUUGCGCGAUUGAAUGAGCCGAUGUCGGAUUAGCUAGUUGGCGGGGUAAAGGCCCACCAAGGCGACGAUCCGUAGCUGGUCUGAGAGGAUGAUCAGCCACACUGGAACUGAGACACGGUCCAGACUCCUACGGGAGGCAGCAGUGGGGAAUAUUGGACAAUGGGCGCAAGCCUGAUCCAGCCAUACCGCGUGGGUGAAGAAGGCCUUCGGGUUGUAAAGCCCUUUUGUUGGGAAAGAAAAGCAGCAGGUUAAUACCCCGCUGUUCUGACGGUACCCAAAGAAUAAGCACCGGCUAACUUCGUG
rnacentral:rRNA from 1 species